rnacentral:lncRNA from 1 species
GCCAAGGUCACCUGAGAAGAUGACCGCUGGUUUGCUCUGGCGGUGAGCUGGAUACGUUCUGAGCCACAUGAUCAAGCCUUUGCGUUUUAAUCGUGAUCGUUGCUUUUGAAUACCAUUGGUGUGGUGCGCUGACUCGUGUGUUUGGUGGAACGCGCGUUUUAGACCACUUGAUUUGCCACCUCAAUUAAUGAGGGAGAUCAAGUGGUCCACGUUUUUUU